AGGGAGGAGGGGCUGGGGUCCCACAGUACAAAGCCAAUUCCCACUCCAUUCCCUCCUCUCCCCCGCUACCCCGAAUCUCCUAGCAGGAAUCCAAGCGCUUUGUGCAGUGGCAGUCGUCUAUCUGAGCCCCUCCUCCCGGCUGGACUGGAGCCUGGCUCCCCUCUUCGUUCCUUCCCUGGCUGCCGGAGGAGACCCCACUAACCCAGCCUGCCUGGGCUCUGACCACUAACACUCUUGGCCAUGGACAGCCUGCACAGGACCGCCUCCCUGCUCUUGGCCACUGUGCUCCCAUUUCUGUCCUUGGCCUUGGGAGUAGCUGAGGGGGCAGACUAGGGAGUAGGGCUGGCAGGGGAGGGGGCAGACAGCCUCGCCUCGCACCCUUCAUCCCUGGCUGCCGGUCCCAUCCUUGGAGGGACUAAGCUGGGGGUGGGGGACAUGAGUCCCCCUGCUGCCCCUGCCACAUCCCAGUGGGCUCUGACCCCCUGAUCUCAACUCGUGGCACUAACUUGGAAAAGGGUUGAUUUAAAAUAAAAGGGAAGACUAUUUUACAAG
rnacentral:lncRNA from 1 species